rnacentral:misc_RNA from 1 species
AGCAGCCGCGGUAAUUCCAGCUCCAAUAGCGUAUAUUAAAGUUGUUGCAGUUAAAAAGCUCGUAGUUGAAUUUCGGGGUUAGUAGGUUGGUCAUGCCUCUGGUAUGUACUGGUCUCACUGAUUCCUCCUUCCUGAUGAACCUUAAUGCCAUUAAUUUGGUGUUUUGGGGAAUUUGGACUGUUACUUUGAAAAAAUUAGAGUGUUUAAAGCAAGCUAACGCUUGAAUACAUUAGCAUGGAAUAAUGAAAUAGGACGUUCGAUCCUAUUUUGUUGGUUUCUAGGAUUGACGUAAUGAUUAAUAGGGAUAGUUGGGGGCAUUAGUAUUCAAUUGUCAGAGGUGAAAUUCUUGGAUUUAUUGAAGACUAACUACUGCGAAAGCAUUUGCCAAGGAUGUUUUCAUUAAUCAAGAACGAAAGUUAGGGGAUCGAAGACGGUCAGAUACCGUCGUAGUCUUAACCAUAAACUAUGCCGACUAGGGAUCGGAUGAUGUUAAUUUUUUAAUGACUCAUUCGGCGCCUUA